UGACGUCAAGUCAUCAUGGCCCUUACGACCAGGGCUACACACGUGCUACAAUGGCGCAUACAAAGAGAAGCGACCUCGCGAGAGCAAGCGGACCUCAUAAAGUGCGUCGUAGUCCGGAUUGGAGUCUGCAACUCGACUCCAUGAAGUCGGAAUCGCUAGUAAUCGUGGAUCAGAAUGCCACGGUGAAUACGUUCCCGGGCCUUGUACACACCGCCCGUCACACCAUGGGAGUGGGUUGCAAAAGAAGUAGGUAGCUUAACCUUCGGGAGGGCGCUUACCACUUUGUGAUUCAUGACUGGGGUGAAGUCGUAACAAGGUAACCGUAGGGGAACCUGCGGUUGGAUCAC
rnacentral:rRNA from 1 species